ACGCUCGACACCUACGGAGGCAGCAGUGGGGAAUAUUGCACAAUGGGGGAAACCCUGAUGCAGCGACGCCGCGUGAGCGAAGAAGUAUCUCGGUAUGUAAAGCUCUAUCAGCAGGGAAGAAAAUGACGGUACCUGACUAAGAAGCACCGGCUAAAUACGUGCCAACAGCCGCGGUAAUCUGAGCGGGCUGGCAAGGC
rnacentral:rRNA from 1 species